ensembl:lncRNA
CUCCUCUUUCUCCUCCUGUUUAUCUUCCUCGCUCUCCUCUUUCUCCUCCUGUUUAUCUUCCUCGCUCUCCUCUUUCUCCUCCUGUUUAUCUUCCUCGCUCUCCUCUUUCUCCUCCUGUUUAUCUUCCUCGCUCUCCUCUUUCUCCUUCUGUUUAUCUUUCUCACUCUCCUCUUUCUCCUUCUGUUUAUCUUUCUCACUCUCCUCUUUGUCCUUCUUGCUCUCCUCUUUCUCAACCCCCCACACGCUUUCUUUCUUGCCCCCCUUCUUCCCCAGGUCUCUCUUCUUCCCAUACAGCCUCUCCUGGAUCCUGUCGUUCAGUCGGCCCAACUCUUCCACCCCCAGAUCCAGCCCAACAGUCUGCAGCAGGCUCUGGAUCUGUCCGUACUUCUGCUCAUCCUCAGGCCUCAUUUUCCUCUUCUCCUCCACCUGUGGAGACAUGGACUUAAGCCUCUCUUUCCUCUUCUCCUCAACAGGUGGAGACAUGGACUUAAGCCUCCCUUUCCCCUUCUCCACAACAGGUGGAGACAUGGACUUAAGCCUCCCUUUCCUCUUCUCCUCAACAGGUGGAGACAUGGACUUAAGCCUCUCUUUCCUCUUCUCCUCAACAGGUGGAGACUUGGACUUAAGCCUCCCUUUCCUCUUCUCCUCAACAGGUGGAGACUUGGACUUAAGCCUCCCUUUCCUCUUCUCCUCAACAGGUGGAGACUUGGACUUAAGCCUCCCUUUCCUCUUCUCCUCAACAGGUGGAGACUUGGACUUAAGCCUCCCUUUCCUCUUCUCCUCAACAGGUGGAGACUUGGACUUAUGCCUUCCUUUCCCCUUCGGCUCAACAGGUGGAGACUUGGACUUAAGCCUCCCUUUCCUCGUCUCAUCCACCUGUGUAGACUUGGGCUUUUUGUUUUUUGGGCUAUCCAUAGCCUGGAUGAAGCCUAAGCUAAGGCUAUGUUGCCCAAUCUCUCCUCCUCCAUUUUGUAAGAGACUGCGGUGCUGUGGCAGAACGUUACCUGCUUGGGCCACUUGACGCAACAGAUCCCCAAACGGAUUGGGCUGAACCCCGAGUAGUGUGGGCUGACCCCAGAGUAUAUUGAACGAACCUUGUGGGAACUCAUCAAAUCGGGAGCGCCUUUUGCGAGAGGGCACCUUCCUCUCAUUCUUAGAGUUGGUCUCGGGCUGGCCAUGAAGUGGAGGCGGCUGACCUUGUGGCAGCUCCUCUCCCAUAGAGGGUAAAUCCUUGAAAUUGUUGACAAUCUUUGAGAGCCUGUCGAUGUCCACCCCUUUGUUGAGGACAUCGAGGAAGUGCUGGAAGCCCUUGGCUGCUUUGUC